GUCAAACAUGGGUUAGAUGAUGGUAUUGCUCAACAAAAAUAUCGGGUGAUGAAUAUGAAAACUAAGGAACUGCCUUGUAUAGGCUCAAUGGCCAUUUGAAGACUCUCUACUUCCAUGUGUGUGUGUGUGUGUGUGUGUGUCGAAGACGGACCGGCCGCCGCCAGUCCUCGCCACAUUACCCUGAGCCUGCGGGGAGGUGAGUCGUGUUUAAUCAGGAAGAUUUCACAGACUUGAGAAAGAUAAUCUCGAUUCGUGCCGUAUUGUGCGUCACGUGUGAAAAUCACAUGUGUACGGGUGUUACGGUAUUUUUGUCAGUUUUCUUAUAAUUCAUCAUUGCAGAGAAACCUUGGUGUUACACACAGUUGAGUACGCCAGGCAGUGACCACUAGAAAAGGGCCAUGAAGGAGCUGAAGGAUUUUGAUAAUUACGAGGACUACGUCGAUUUUAUCUUUGAGGAGGAUGAAAAUUCAAUUUAUGGCCCAACGAUGACUUGGACCUAAAUUGCUUUUGAAAGCAUUUUCCUAAUUUCCAUUCUUGUGUUCCUCAUAGUCUUCCUCAACAAAAUUUUGUGGCUUGUGUGUUGGCCAUGUCGUCGAGUCUACAGAUAUUAUCGACCUGCUCGGUGCAAGAACAAAAUCCAAGAAAACCGGGAAGCGUCAGUGAAGCGAUCCCUUGGACCCUGGCAAAGGCUGGGUUCAAUGGGGCGCGACAUGGCGAUGCAGACCAUCCAUCAUAGUCUACCGAAUGCCCGUUUCGGCCCUGUCAGUUGGUUUGUCCUGAGCCAACUUCCUAAACUUACUGCAGUUGACUGACCAAACAGACUCCACAAAAACAGAUUCCUGCAAUGACUGCACCGUUUCUGCCCUCGGCCGGUCCAGGGAUGACACGGGGUUGUCUACAUUUUAGCCAAGCCCAAAGCCAGACGUGACAACAGCGCGGAGCAAUUGUGCGUUGCCCCGGGUUGGAGUCGUGCUAGUUUUUCUCUUACUUUAAUGUUUUUAAUUUAACUUUACUCCCAUGUUGAGGGGAAACUUAACCUGAUCAAUUUUUUGCGCAUUUUAAGUUUUUAAUUAUAUUAAUACUUACGCCCGAUACAGCAUGUUUAUUCGGGCUCAGUUUUGUCUGAGUUGGGGCUCUACCAUUUACUGGUUGCUGAAGUUUAUUUUGAAGAGUAUGGUACGUAAUAACUUUCCAUUUAAAAGUCUUUUUAAAGAACUGAAAAUGAGGCUUUUUAAAGAACUGAAUAUAUAUAUAUUUUUUUUAAGAACGGUGUGUUAAAGUUUUUAGAAUUAGGAUUAACUUAUAGUUUAAGCGGAUUUUUUUUUUUUUAAGAACGGUGUGUUAAAGUUUUUAGAAUUAGAAUUUAACUUAUAGUUUAAGCGGAUUUACUAGUUGUAUUGAAAUUGAAGAAACGUAAGUUGAGAUAGUAGGGAUCGGUAGGGAGCGGCGUGUGUUGAGCCACGCACUCCUUGCUCAUCACCUGUGCGGGUUCUAAGUACAAGACGGCUGAUGCAGAUCCUCAGUCAUCACUCGCUUUAAGUACAAUAAACUAAAAGAUAUG